rnacentral:rRNA from 1 species
UACGUAGGUGGCAAGCGUUGUCCGGAAUUAUUUGGGCGUAAAGCGCGCGUCAGGCGGCCUCUUAAGUCUGAUGUGAAAGCCCCCGGCUCAACCGGGGAGGGCCAUUGGAAACUGGGAGGCUUUGAGUAUAGGAGAGAAGAGUGGAAUUCCGACGUGUAGCGGUGAAAUGCGUAGAGAUGAUGGAGGAACACCAGUGGUCGAAGGCGACUCUUUGGCCUAUAA